GGUGAUAAGGGUCAUCUCUAUGAAUAGCUUUCUUCCUGGAACUGACUGGACUUCACAACCAAUUUUGGGCUAGUGUGGAGAGAUCAGCUGUGAGAAACAUCCAUUGAUUUGCUCAGGCUGCCCUUUGUAUCUUAAUGCUUCAGGUUUUGUUAUCCUGCGCCUUUCUUCUGUCUUCUUUCCUCAUAAGUUUUUUAGAUACAAUUUUAUUGCCAAUAAUUAAAGAGUGAGAAUGAGCGGCAAUGGGCUGGUAUGGUUGCAUUCAAACUCCAAAGUUCACAUUUUGGAAUAUUGAUUUUUGCUUGAGAACAACUUACCUAAAAACCAUGGGAAUUUGGCAGGGAGGGAUGUGAUGGGGCAUAUGUUGAGUUCUUUCAAGGAAUUUAACUUUCAUUUCUGAAGAAGUAAAAACUGUGGCAUGGU
ensembl:lncRNA LNCHR1 lncRNA induced by HCV, regulator of SREBF1